rnacentral:sRNA from 1 species
GGCUCGAAGCGGAUGGGGAGGAACUAAGGGACUGUGCUAACUAAUGGGGCAAGUUGCGCUGAACGCGUUGGUUUUGGGCGAAGGGUUGAGUUUCUCUCUCGCCGGCCUGUGUGUUGGCAGCUGGACUAUUCAGGUUCUCUUGCGGUAAAGAAUACAAACUCCCUUACCAAUUAUAAGCCCCUGAAACUGAAUGGUUGGUGCAGUCGCUUGAUUGAGGAAUGAGGACUUGAAAUAGAACGUGAACGGUUUUCCGUCCAACCUUGAUCAGUAUUCAAACUCUAUCAUGCGUUGUUAUGUUUUCCUACCUGUCA